AGAGGGUAGAGAGAGAGCGAGUCGCAUAAGGGUGGCCCGCCACUGUGUGUAGCGAAAGUGAUUCGAGACACAGAAAAUUAAUACUAAUCCAGGCGGCGUGCCCCGGAAGUGACUUCGGAAAAGCAAAAAUUCAAUAACAACCGAAAAAAGGCCCUGACUGCGGGUGUGCGGGCGCGAGUCUACACGCGAGAAAUAGGCUCAAAGAAGCCUCUGUAUUCCCGGAGAAAUAUUAAAAGGUAGCAAAGCGUGGUACGGGUGGAAAAGAAUAAAGACUUCGGAAUGAAGCGAUCCCGAACGGGGGACUCGACGAUCCCGGGAAUUUCUUUCAUUGAGAAUUCCUGCCAGCCCGCAAGGUUUCCAUUGAAAAAUGUGCUUCCCUUUUGGAACAACGGGGCUGUAUUUGUACGCGGGGAAUCAAUGCUAUAACUGAAUUCGAACCGAUCGAACUGCUUGUGCAUUAGUGAGAUCUGUGGUAGUAAGAGGUCCGGAGUUUGAGGAUAGUCUCUGCUGCAUGUGACGUCAAGUUUCGUCCCUCUUCCCUGAAAACGGGCUAGUAGUAGAGCGUUGCCGGUAAAAGCUGUAAGUUAUGCAUUCAAACGCCAUCCCAAAGAUGUCCUGUUCAAGGUUGUCACAUCCGGCGCUUUGUGUGGAAUAUCAAUGCGACUUCCUGAUUGAGUCGCCGAAAGGGGACUGAAAACGGUGAUGAUGUGUUACGGAACGUGAAGUUAGCGGAACGUUUCUCGUAAAGUUCCAUGCCAUGGCGAUGUCCCGGCUCGCAUGUCCAGUUCGGUGCUCAGUAGACGAGGCUCUACCAAGACACUGAGAGCUGAAACAGUCUCUAGCGAUAACCUUCCAACGGACCCAAAUCUCUUCGAAUGUUCUCCGUCGUGGUACGGUGGUUCCCCACUCCGCAAGGAACCUUUCACUGUACAUCACCCGAGCAAGUUACCAAAGUUGCCUCGGUACCCUCGCCGGUUGCUGAUAUGAAUAUUUAUCACAACGACUUUCAGAACUUUUAGGCUCGCCGUUUCCCAGCUCGUGCCAGCUCGGGAGGAAGGUGUGUGAAAACUUUCCCAGGAAAACUGGUGCAUAAAGGAACAAACCCUUUCAACGAUGCUGGUGGAGGGCGCUGGGGUUUUCUGAAGGUUAUGCUCUACAGAAAUCCGACAACCCUAAAGUAGGAAGACUUACGUUAGAUUGUUUUGCCUUAAAAUGCGUGUUAUGUCAUUCGAGAAGGGUUUGAAGAAAACGACAUUAAAGUGUUCAUAGAGAGUAUCCUGAAAAGUGGUAACAAAUUUGGACCAUUCUGAAGGCUUUUUCCGGUGAUUUCAAUGUACUAAAAUAAAGUUCUUUAAU